rnacentral:rRNA from 1 species
CAAAAACUGCCCAAGCUAGAGUAUGGUAGGAGGGGUAGUGGAAAUUUCCCUGUGUAGGCGGUGAAAAUGCGUAGAUAUAGGAAGGGACCACCCAGUGGCGAAGGCGACUACCCUGGACUGAUACUGACACUGAGGUGCGAAAGCGUGGGGGAGCAAAACCAGGAUUUAGAUACCUCUGGGUAGUCCACGCCCGUAAAACGAAUGUCAAACUAGCCGUUGGGAAGUUCUUGAAACUCUUAGUGGCGCAAGCUAACGCCAUUAAAGUUGACCGCCUGGGGAAGUACGGCCGCAAAGGUUAAAAACUCAAAAUGAAAUUGACGGGGGCCCGCACCAAGCGGUGGAGCCAUGUGGUUUAUUUCGAAAGCAAACGCGAAAGAACCCUUACCCAGGCCCUUGACAUCCCAAUGAACUUUCUAGAGAUAGAUUGGUGCCUUCGGGAACAUUGAGACAGGUGCUGCAUGGCUGUCGUCAGCUCGUGUCGUGAGAUGUUGGGUUAAGUCCCGUAACGAGCGCAACCCUUGUCCUUAGUUACCAGCACGUAAUGGUGGGCACUCUAAGGAGACUGCCGGUGACAAACCGGAGGAAGGUGGGGAUGACGUCGAGUCAUCGUGGCCCUUACGGCCUGGGCUACACACGUGCUACGAUGGUCGGUACAAAGGGUUGCCAAGCCGCGAGGUGGAGCUAAUCCCAUAAAACCGAUCGUAGUCCGGAUCGCGGUCUGCAACUCGACUGCGUGAAGUCGGAAUCGCUAGUAAUCGUGAAUCAGAAUGUCACGGUGAAUACGUUCCCGGGCCUUGUACACACCGCCCGUCACACCAUGGGAGUGGGUUGCACCAGAAGUAGCGAGUCGAACCUUCGGGA